rnacentral:rRNA from 1 species
AUAGGUGGCUAUUGCAAUGGGGUACACCUCUUUCCAUUCCGAACAGAGAAGUUAAGUCCAUUAGCGCAGAUGGUACUGCCGAAAGGUGGGAUAGUAUGUCGCUGCCUACU